UCUUCGGUAGUAUAGUGGUUAGUAUUCCCGCCUGUCACGCGGGAGACCGGGGUUCGAUUCCCCGCCGGAGAG
rnacentral:tRNA from 1 species